rnacentral:lncRNA from 1 species
AGGCGCCAGGGAGGUUCCCCGGCUUUGCCGCGCGGAGGAAGUCCCGGUUACGCAGAGCGCGCUGGGGCAGGGCUGACCUUCCCCUUUCUCUACUUCACUGGCCUCCUCCAGACGUGGUGGUUGCGCCCUUUCGGCCUCGCUUUCCGUUUUUUGGCUUCAUCCCCUAGAUCUGCAAACAGUUCCUCGUGUUUCUUCCGUUAGCCGGGAAACGCGAACUGCAGCGUUUGGGACCCGGGUUUGCGCGUGUGGAAAGCAAAAGGGGUUACUCUGCUGGAGUUCGACAUUGCAAAUAAAGAUAAUGUCUGUGCCUAUCAGAUAAAGGCAAACCAGUGCUCAGAGGAACCCAACCAUCUCUGAAUUGAGACCAGAGAGCUGUCUCUAUGGAUAGUCCUUAGAGAAGGCAUUUCGGAACACAGUAAACAGCAGCCUGGUGACUCCGAUUACAGGGCCAGUUGCCUUUGUUACAAUAAAAGCAAGUCAUCUACACAGAUUUUUCCUACCAGGAAGAGCAUGUGCUGACCAACAGACAUGAAUUUCAGCCUGGUAGUUACAACAUUCACAGGAGUUUCACUCGUUGCCCAGGCUGGAGUGCAACGGCGCGAUCUCAGCUCACUGCAACCUCCGCCUCCCCAGUUCAAGCGAUUCUCCUGCCUCAGCCUCCUGAGUCACUGGAAUUACGGGCGCCUGACACCACGCCCAGCUAAUUUUUUGUAUUUUUAGUAGACAUGGGGUUUCACUAUGUUGGCCAGGCUGGUCUCGAACUCCUGACCUCAUGAUCCUCCUGCCUCAGCCUCCCAAAGCACUGGGAUUACAGGUGUGAGCCACUGUGCCUGGUCCAUUAAAAACAUUUGUAAAGCUAUGGUGUUGAUAAAGUAUUAUGAAAGACUGCAAAAAAAGAUGGCUAAUUUUUAGUUAUUAUUGCACAUGUUUAGAGGAGCUAAUGACAUUUUCUAUGAUUAAUAAAAGACAUUAUUUAUGUUUUUAUUUAUGUAUUCCACAACAUUUAUUUUAUUUUCUCCAUUUCAGGAAAACCACUAUGUUGUUACAAUAAAGAUUUUCAUGUAAUUUGUGUUCAAUUGAUAGUAAUAAUGUAACAAGUUAAAAAUGAAGGUAAUUGUGUUUAAAAUUUGAGCAUAUUUUCAUCAAAAUGUAAGUUAAAGUGAUUGUAAAUUUUAAGAUCAUAAUUACUUUGUAUAUCUUCAAGAAAAUUAUUGUUUUAAAAUAUUUAUGCCUAUUAAAAUUAGAAGGCAAAAUAAAAAUAUAUGAAUACCAACAUUUUAAAUAAAAAUCAUUUAAAUAAA